rnacentral:miRNA from 1 species
AGAGUGAAGAUGAGAUUGAGAAGGAAGAUGAGAGGGGAGGAGGGAGGAAGGAGUAACAAAACUGGAACCAAAAACUAAAAACUGAAAUCUAUUUGAAAUUGUUUUCACUCUUGCAAGUUUUUUCACUUUUGUUACUCUUCCCUCCCAUCCUCUCCUCUCAUCAUCUCUCUCAAUCUCAUCCUCUAAUCC